GAUGAACGCUAGCGGCAGGCCUAAUACAUGCAAGUCGAGGGGCAGCAUAGUAGCAAUACUGAUGGCGACCGGCGCACGGGUGCGUAACGCGUAUGCAACCUACCUUUUACUGGGGGAUAGCCCGGAGAAAUUCGGAUUAACACCGCAUAACAUAUUGAGUUGGCAUCAAUUUAAUAUUAAAUAUUUAUAGGUAAGAGAUGGGCAUGCGUCCAA
rnacentral:rRNA from 1 species